AACGCGAAGAACCUUACCAACCUUUGACAUGCCCAGUAUGGUCGUCAGAGAUGACUUCCUUCCCGCAAGGGGCUGGAGCACAGGUGCUGCAUGGCUGUCGUCAGCUCGUGUCGUGAGAUGUUGGGUUAAGUCCCGCAACGAGCGCAACCCUCGCCCUUAGUUGCCAUCAUUUAGUUGGGCACUCUAAGGGGACUGCCGGUGAUAAGCCGCGAGGAAGGUGGGGAUGACGUCAAGUCCUCAUGGCCCUUACAGGUUGGGCUACACACGUGCUACAAUGGCGGUGACAGUGGGAUGCAAUGGAGCAAUCCUGCGCAAAUCUCAAAAAGCCGUCUCAGUUCGGAUUGUGCUCUGCAACUCGAGCACAUGAAGUUGGAAUCGCUAGUAAUCGCAGAUCAGCACGCUGCGGUGAAUACGUUCCCGGGCCUUGUA
rnacentral:rRNA from 1 species